UCUCCUGUGGCUCAGGGUAGAGCGUCCGACGAGUGUGUGGAAGAUCAUAGGUUCGAGUCCUGUUGGGGGAA